CCGAAAUUAAACGCGUUUAACGACGGACCGUUUUCACCAGCGUUUCGCUCCGUUUCACAAACUGCGUUUAUUGAAACGCAGUUUAAGAAACUGGAAACACUGGCAUCGUUGCAAAAGUGAGAACUAUUACGAUUCUCAUCGCAAAAUCAUCUUAUCAAAGAACCAUUUGGGUCCAUGACGUCAAUAACCCGUUAUCAAACCCAAACUUUCUGCUCGAACUAACCGUAAACAUUUAAAGUUUGCUUUGUUUAUGCACGGUUUGUGCAUUCGUGUAUGGCUUAUGACUGGUAUACACGUUUUUAUUAGAUUUUCUAUUUGAAAAAUUACUUAAACAAGUAGAAAAUUAAGUCCUGCGGACGCCCUUUCAGAUCCUUAUAAAAUUCAUUGAAUAAACAAGGCAAGCGGAGGAGUCAGGAAGGAUUUUACUGGGUAAACAUCUUGGCUGGAAUCUCACAAAACCCAGAACACCAGCUCUAUCGCGGAGCUCACCCCGUGUACAAUUGGAUGUGAUGUAGUUGUGCUGAAACCCUUAAAAUCUCUAGCAGAAGUUUGCAUGCAUUCUGUGGCAUAAAACCGCGAAGCACCGAGAAGUUGGCUUAUCGGCGACACAAUUACAGACAGGACAGGCAAAGUACAUAAGUGGCAUUAAAAUAUUCGUAGACUUCUUCGAAAAUUAAGUUAUAAACUGGCCUACGUGCCAUUUCUAUUUUAUUAUUUUUCGGUCGACCGACAGCAACAAUUCUUUACACAGUGAGGUUAGAUCAAGUCUUUAAACGGCGUUUAAAGCUAUAAACGCCCAAAAUCUGCCAGUUCGUUUCUUUAAACGCGUUUAAGCACAAACUAAGUUUAAGGUUCUGGUGAAAUCCGUUUCGCGCGUCAAAUUGAGUUUCAGACGUUAAACUGGUUUAAGAUCGCUUGAUGAAAAUGGGCCCAAGUGAGCUAAGCCGGUGAAGCGGUUCUGAGAUGAUCCCACAAAAAUCUAGAGACCUGUUGGGCUGUCACUUCAUCAUUACGCAAUAUAAGCUAAUGUAGUGGUGCUUCAGCGGGUUUUUUUGCCCAAUACUGACAGAUUUGUUGAUUUACUUGUCGCCUUAAUAUAAAUCUUGAGAUAUCUGCAAAAAUUAUAUCUUUAACUUCGACGGAUUCUAAUAUCUGAGUUUUGCCCUAUGGUCAUAAAACAUACAUUUUUACUAAAUUGUACAAUUAAGUUAGAACAUGAAAUAUGCCUAUUGAAAUAUUGCAAUGCGAACAGACACUUUCUACAGAUAUGUCAACAAUAAAUAAAUUAAAAACGAACUGCCAAGCAAGAGCGAAGCAAGUCAAGCAAGAGCAGAGCAAUGCAUCAUCGAAAGGGCGAACAAGCACAUGAUAUAUCAUGAUAUAAUCGUCUUUAUUAUGUAGUUUUUUUUUUCGAAAACAUGUAUGAAUGUAGUUUGCUACAGACAUCGGUCCAUAGUCCUUUCGUGUCGUGUGAAUCACGUUCUUAAAUGGAAAAUAUAAAAUUAUUGUACCCCAUAUCCCACCUGGUAACUGCUGAAUUAAAGUUGUAUAUUCGAA